CUCAAAUACCCACACUCCCUCCCAUGCUCACACCUCUCCCAUGCUCACACUCCCUCCCAUGCUCACACCCCCUCCCAUGCUCACACCCCCUCCCAUGCUCACACCCCCUCCCAUGCUCACACCCCCUCCCAUGCUCACACCCCCUCCCAUGCUCACACCCCCUCACAUGCUCACACUCCCUCACAUGCUCACACUCCUGUUGAGA
rnacentral:lncRNA from 1 species